UGCAGGAUAUAAUAAUUUUGUUUAUUAUACAGAAUGAAACAGAUUGACAAUAAAAGCUGACAAAGACUAAGAAGAACAGUCUCAGUGUUUAAGAGGAAAGCAGACACUGAAUUUGCGGUCAGGCGAGCAGCAAACCUACAGUGCCUUUAUCAAGUCAAAGGACGGCUAUUAUUUGAUGGUACAGUAGGCGAGGUGAAUAUCAACGGAGCAACCAAUUACUGUUCUCACAAAACUAAAAAAAGAACAUUAAUUAGUACCCUCAGCUAUUUACUGUAUGUGUAUACAACACUUCGGCUGCAGUGCUAAUUGCAGCCAAAGUGUACCAGGGGAGACUUUUUGACUGACUCAGCCAGGCAGGGAGUUGCGCUGACGAGUGUGGAGAUGAACACACUGCGGGCUGCCUGUGCACCAGCGCACGGAAUAAGUGACUCUGUUUAGCAGGAGCGGGGUGGGUGACGGCUCUUCAGCUGCAGUUGCCUCACCCUGUAAAAACGCGCCGCUGGACACACCCGGCCGCAAGCGCUCGGACUGGGGGCAGCGGCGGCCCGUCGGGCGAGUCCAGCCCGGCGCAUGUCCUCUCCGCGUCGCCUUGCACGCACACAGGCCGCUCUGACCGGAGAAAAAAUAUUUUAUCUUGCAAUUACAGUUGAUCUGUCAGUUCGUAGAGCGCCGCUGGGACUUUUCUUUGGAUUGUAUGCGAAACUACAUUUUCUAAACAGACUAAAAGCUACGCUGAAAUGCUUGCCCUCCUUUAAAGAAAAAGCGAGCACGAAUUCAUUUUUUUUUUGCCAAGCAUACCCCUUACGCCGCCCACCUCUCCGCUGCCACUCAGAGAACACGGAGACAAGACAGCACACGGCGCAGCCGGUCCUCUGUGUGUCUGCUCCGUGGCCCUGGAGACCAGCCUGCGGGCACGGGGACGAGGAGGAGCCAGAGGAGCUGGCCAGCUGAGCGCCCCCCCCACUGGGCACUCCAUGCCACAGCAGGCUGGUGCGCCCCACUUUCCAGCUGAGCUGUCGUUUGAACAGCUUCCUUUCACCGGACCGGGCUGAACAUACAGUAGCCUCUGUUAAGAAUUUCAUGUCAGGCAAUUAAGGAGAAAAAAUAAUAGCAAAACUAUUCCCCGAUGCAUUGAAGACACAUAUUUGGUCAAAUAUAAAGAGGUCAGCUUGAGAUACAGCUCACUGCACCAUAGCAGUUGUAAUCACGGUUUGGAGGACUUUGCACCUUGUAAUGUCGAUGCCGUUGCAUACUGGUUUCUUGGGAGAACCAAUGGGGAGUGAAGCUGAACUUCACUUAUCCAGGCUGUCUGGUCAUGCAGCUCUGAGGCCAAGAUGUGUGUAAAACGCACAGUGAAUGCUGUGUGCAUAGCACACAUAGAAACAGCAAUACAGAGCAAGGAAAUAGUCAAACGUGUAGUCCGAGUCUAAUUCAAUAAAGGACAUCAGAGAUCACGCAAAGUUUUGUGGUGUGGUGCCUUAUAAAACCCUCAUGACCUCAGCUUUCAAAUUCAGUUAAAUUACGGAAAGACUUGAAAGCUAUUGAUUUGUCACAUGAAAAAGGGAGCGUAACACACAACUAACUGUGGUCACUUGAAUGUAAUGAAAUCAGAUGGAAACAGAGUUCUUCACACCAAAUGCCCAAAGGUAUUUCCUUCAGCUUGUGAGAAUGUUACAUUCAGUGUGAAAGGUUCUUCCAGCAGGAUCCCAGUAUAAGGCCAAACACAACACACAUUGUCAGGGUAUCAGUUAGUGUUACUGGACUGAAAUAUUUAAAGAGCUGACCUGCCACCAAGCUUACAUUAUAUCUUUAUAUUUCUUCACAUGUGGCAUUUUUGCAGUUUCACAUUUCAUGUAUGUUUGUUAAGACAAACUGUAACAACCUUUGAACACGUUUCGGUGUGGCAGUCAUAUUUUUUACUUGUAUUAAUUUUAAUUUGGGGGGCUUCAAGUUGUUGGUGGGUGAUAUUUCUUUAAUCUUUUUUGUAUUUCUCUCUCCUGGGUAUUUGAGUUGAAAUUUAGUUCCAUGAGCUUUAAAUAAAAACAUAACAAUAUCUGCUUGUUUAGUAGAUAAGAUUAAAAAGAGAGAUCGAAGGUUUUAAUAACUGGAUCCAAGUUGUUUAAUUUUUUUAAAACUAGUUUCACACAAUGAGCAUAUAGGAUGAAACCCUUUUUAUUUAAUACAAAGAGACACAAAUAUACUUUAUGUAGGUCAUUGCUGGUAAAUUUUAAUAGGUUCUCCCUAUAGAUUCUACCU
ensembl:lincRNA